rnacentral:rRNA from 1 species
UUGGAAGGAAAGAUAAUUAUUAGAUUAAAAACCAAUGCCCUUCGGGGCUCACUGGUGAUUCAUGAUAACUCCUCGAAUCGCAUGGCCUUGUGCCGGCGAUGGUUCAUUCAAAUUUCUUCCCUAUCAACUUUCGAUGUUUGGGUAUUGGCCAAACAUGGUUGCAACGGGUAACGGAGGGUUAGGGCUCGACCCCGGAGAAGGAGCCUGAGAAACGGCUACUACAUCCAAGGAAGGCAGCAGGCGCGCAAAUUACCCAAUCCCGACACGGGGAGGUAGUGACAAUAAAUACUGAUACAGGGCUCUUUUGGGUCUUGUAAUUGGAAUGAGUACAAUUUAAAUCCCUUAACGAGGAACAAUUGGAGGGCAAGUCUGGUGCCAGCAGCCGCGGUAAUUCCAGCUCCAAUAGCGUAUAUUAAAGUUGUUGUGGUUAAAAAGCUCGUAGUUGAACCUUGGGCCUGGCCGUCCGGUCCGCCUCACCGCGUGUACUGGCUCGGCCGGGCCUUUCCCUCUGUGGAACCCCAUGCCCUUCACUGGGCGUGGCGGGGAACCAGGACUUUUACAA